rnacentral:rRNA from 1 species
AUUUAGAGUUUGAUNCCUGGCUCAGAACGAACGCUGGCGGCAGGCUUAACACAUGCAAGUCGAACGCCCCGCAAGGGGAGUGGCAGACGGGUGAGUAACGCGUGGGAACGUACCCUUUACUACGGAAUAACUCAGGGAAACUUGUGCUAAUACCGUAUGUGCCCUUCGGGGGAAAGAUUUAUCGGUAAAGGAUCGGCCCGCGUUGGAUUAGCUAGUUGGUGGGGUAAAGGCCUACCAAGGCGACGAUCCAUAGCUGGUCUGAGAGGAUGAUCAGCCACAUUGGGACUGAGACACGGCCCAAACUCCUACGGGAGGCAGCAGUGGGGAAUAUUGGCUAAUGGGCGCAAGCCUGAUCCAGCCAUGCCGCGUGAGUGAUGAAGGCCCUAGGGUUGUAAAGCUCUUUCACCGGUGAAGAUAAUGACGNAACCGGAGAAGAAGCCCCG